UACGUAGGGUGCAAGCGUUGUCCGGAAUUAUUGGGCGUAAAGAGCUCGUAGGCGGUUUGUCGCGUCUGCCCGUGAAAGUCCGGGGCUCAACUCCGGGAUCUGCGGUGGGUACGGGCAGACUAGAGGUAGGCAGGGGAGAGCGGAACUCCUGGUGUAGCGGUGGAAUGCGCAGAUAUCAGGAAGAACACCGGUGGCGAAGGCGGCUCUCUGGGCCUUACCUGACGCUGAGGAGCGAAGCGUGGUAG
rnacentral:rRNA from 1 species